rnacentral:RNase_P_RNA from 1 species
CAAUGGAACAGAAACGACACGGCCUGUUUUCAGUCAUGAUGCGGUCGAGCCGAAAGGCAAGAAGCAUGGUUUCCAUGCGAGUAACCCGCUGAGCGUUAACAAACAGGAUACGGUGAAACGGCGAAUCCCUGCGGGUGCAAGCCAGAACAGGACAAUAAGACGCCCGGUCUCUGUCCGGGUUUGGCGCAGAGCUGAAUGCCGCAAAAACAGAAGGAGGCUUACUCCUCCCACUC